rnacentral:rRNA from 1 species
UUAAGCGACUAAGCGUACACGGUGGAUGCCCUGGCAGUCAGAGGCGAUGAAGGACGUGCUAAUCUGCGAUAAGCGUCGGUAAGGUGAUAUGAACCGUUAUAACCGGCGAUUUCCGAAUGGGGAAACCCAGUGUGUUUCGACACACUAUCAUUAACUGAAUCCAUAGGUUAAUGAGGCGAACCGGGGGAACUGAAACAUCUAAGUACCCCGAGGAAAAGAAAUCAACCGAGAUUCCCCCAGUAGCGGCGAGCGAACGGGGAGCAGCCCAGAGCCUGAAUCAGUGUGUGUGUUAGUGGAAGCGCCUGGAAAGGCGCGCGAUACAGGGUGACAGCCCCGUACACAAAAAUGCACAUGCUGUGAGCUCGAUGAGUAGGGCGGGACACGUGGUAUCCUGUCUGAAUAUGGGGGGACCAUCCUCCAAGGCUAAAUACUCCUGACUGACCGAUAGUGAACCAGUACCGUGAGGGAAAGGCGAAAAGAACCCCGGCGAGGGGAGUGAAAAAGAACCUGAAACCGUGUACGUACAAGCAGUGGGAGCACGCUUAGGCGUGUGACUGCGUACCUUUUGUAUAAUGGGUCAGCGACUUAUAUUCUGUAGCAAGGUUAACCGAAUAGGGGAGCCGAAGGGAAACCGAGUCUUAACUGGGCGUUAAGUUGCAGGGUAUAGACCCGAAACCCGGUGAUCUAGCCAUGGGCAGGUUGAAGGUUGGGUAACACUAACUGGAGGACCGAACCGACUAAUGUUGAAAAAUUAGCGGAUGACUUGUGGCUGGGGGUGAAAGGCCAAUCAAACCGGGAGAUAGCUGGUUCUCCCCGAAAGCUAUUUAGGUAGCGCCUCGUGAAUUCAUCUCCGGGGGUAGAGCACUGUUUCGGCAAGGGGGUCAUCCCGACUUACCAACCCGAUGCAAACUGCGAAUACCGGAGAAUGUUAUCACGGGAGACACACGGCGGGUGCUAACGUCCGUCGUGAAGAGGGAAACAACCCAGACCGCCAGCUAAGGUCCCAAAGUCAUGGUUAAGUGGGAAACGAUGUGGGAAGGCCCAGACAGCCAGGAUGUUGGCUUAGAAGCAGCCAUCAUUUAAAGAAAGCGUAAUAGCUCACUGGUCGAGUCGGCCUGCGCGGAAGAUGUAACGGGGCUAAACCAUGCACCGAAGCUGCGGCAGCGACGCUUAUGCGUUGUUGGGUAGGGGAGCGUUCUGUAAGCCUGCGAAGGUGUGCUGUGAGGCAUGCUGGAGGUAUCAGAAGUGCGAAUGCUGACAUAAGUAACGAUAAAGCGGGUGAAAAGCCCGCUCGCCGGAAGACCAAGGGUUCCUGUCCAACGUUAAUCGGGGCAGGGUGAGUCGACCCCUAAGGCGAGGCCGAAAGGCGUAGUCGAUGGGAAACAGGUUAAUAUUCCUGUACUUGGUGUUACUGCGAAGGGGGGACGGAGAAGGCUAUGUUGGCCGGGCGACGGUUGUCCCGGUUUAAGCGUGUAGGCUGGUUUUCCAGGCAAAUCCGGAAAAUCAAGGCUGAGGCGUGAUGACGAGGCACUACGGUGCUGAAGCAACAAAUGCCCUGCUUCCAGGAAAAGCCUCUAAGCAUCAGGUAACAUCAAAUCGUACCCCAAACCGACACAGGUGGUCAGGUAGAGAAUACCAAGGCGCUUGAGAGAACUCGGGUGAAGGAACUAGGCAAAAUGGUGCCGUAACUUCGGGAGAAGGCACGCUGAUAUGUAGGUGAAGUCCCUCGCGGAUGGAGCUGAAAUCAGUCGAAGAUACCAGCUGGCUGCAACUGUUUAUUAAAAACACAGCACUGUGCAAACACGAAAGUGGACGUAUACGGUGUGACGCCUGCCCGGUGCCGGAAGGUUAAUUGAUGGGGUUAGCCGCAAGGCGAAGCUCUUGAUCGAAGCCCCGGUAAACGGCGGCCGUAACUAUAACGGUCCUAAGGUAGCGAAAUUCCUUGUCGGGUAAGUUCCGACCUGCACGAAUGGCGUAAUGAUGGCCAGGCUGUCUCCACCCGAGACUCAGUGAAAUUGAACUCGCUGUGAAGAUGCAGUGUACCCGCGGCAAGACGGAAAGACCCCGUGAACCUUUACUAUAGCUUGACACUGAACAUUGAGCCUUGAUGUGUAGGAUAGGUGGGAGGCUUUGAAGUGUGGACGCCAGUCUGCAUGGAGCCGACCUUGAAAUACCACCCUUUAAUGUUUGAUGUUCUAACGUGGACCCGUGAUCCGGGUUGCGGACAGUGUCUGGUGGGUAGUUUGACUGGGGCGGUCUCCUCCUAAAGAGUAACGGAGGAGCACGAAGGUUGGCUAAUCCUGGUCGGACAUCAGGAGGUUAGUGCAAUGGCAUAAGCCAGCUUGACUGCGAGCGUGACGGCGCGAGCAGGUGCGAAAGCAGGUCAUAGUGAUCCGGUGGUUCUGAAUGGAAGGGCCAUCGCUCAACGGAUAAAAGGUACUCCGGGGAUAACAGGCUGAUACCGCCCAAGAGUUCAUAUCGACGGCGGUGUUUGGCACCUCGAUGUCGGCUCAUCACAUCCUGGGGCUGAAGUAGGUCCCAAGGGUAUGGCUGUUCGCCAUUUAAAGUGGUACGCGAGCUGGGUUUAGAACGUCGUGAGACAGUUCGGUCCCUAUCUGCCGUGGGCGCUGGAGAACUGAGGGGGGCUGCUCCUAGUACGAGAGGACCGGAGUGGACGCAUCACUGGUGUUCGGGUUGUCAUGCCAAUGGCACUGCCCGGUAGCUAAAUGCGGAAGAGAUAAGUGCUGAAAGCAUCUAAGCACGAAACUUGCCCCGAGAUGAGUUCUCCCUGACUCCUUGAGAGUCCUGAAGGAACGUUGAAGACGACGACGUUGAUAGGCCGGGUGUGUAAGCGCAGCGAUGCGUUGAGCUAACCGGUACUAAUGAACCGUGAGGCUUAACCU